UGGGGAACCUGCCCCAUAGUCUGGGAUACCACUUGGAAACAGGUGCUAAUACCGGAUAAGAAAGCAGAUCGCAUGAUCAGCUUUUAAAAGGCGGCGUAAGCUGUCGCUAUGGGAUGGCCCCGCGGUGCAUUAGCUAGUUGGUAAGGUAAAGGCUUACCAAGGCGAUGAUGCAUAGCCGAGUUGAGAGACUGAUCGGCCACACUGGGACUGAGACACGGCCCAAACUCCUACGGGAGGCAGCAGGG
rnacentral:rRNA from 1 species